UACGUAGGGUGCAAGCGUUAAUCGGAAUUACUGGGCGUAAAGGGCUCGUAGGCGGCCAACUAAGUCGGAUGUGAAAUCCCCAGGCUCAACUUGGGAACUGCAUCCGAUACUGGAUGGCUUGAAUUCGGGAGAGGGAUGCAGAAUUCCAGGUGUAGCGGUGAAAUGCGUAGAUAUCUGGAGGAAUACCGGUGGCGAAGGCGGCAUCCUGGACCGACAUUGACGCUGAUGAGCGAAAGCUAGGGGAGCAAACGGG
rnacentral:rRNA from 1 species